rnacentral:misc_RNA from 1 species
CCUAGAGUUGUAGGCUUUGCCUGCUAUCUCUUACCCAUGUCUUUUGAGUACCUUACGUUUCCUCGGCGGGUUCGCCCACCGAUUGGACAAACUUAAACCCUUUGCAGUUGAAAUCAGCGUCUGAAAAAACUUAAUAGUUA